CCUACGGGAGACAGCAGUGGGGGAUAUUGGACAAUGGGGGAAACCCUGAUCUAGCGACGCCGCGUGAGUGAAGAAGUAUUUCGGUAUGUACAGCUCUGUCAGCAGGGAAGAAAGAAAUGACGGUACCUGACCAAGAAGCCCCGGCUAACUACGUGCCAGCAGCCGCGGUAAUACGUAGAGGGCAAGCGUUAUCCGGAAUUACUGGGUUUAAAGGGUGCGUAGGCGGGCUUUUAAGUCAGCGGUAAACAUUCGGGGCUCAACCCCGUCCGGUCGGUGAAACUGGGGGCCUUGAGUGGGCGAGAAGAAGGCGGAAGGCGGGGUGUAGCGGUGAAAUGCAUAGAUAUCACGCAGAACCCCGAUUGCGAAGGCAGCCUUCCGGCGCCCUACUGACGCUGAGGCACGAAAGUGCGGGGAUCGAACAGGAUAGAUACCCUUGUAGUC
rnacentral:rRNA from 1 species